rnacentral:tRNA from 1 species
GGACGAUUAGCUCAGUUGGUUAGAGCGUCGCAUUGACAUUGCGGAGGUCACUGGUUCGAGCCCAGUAUCGUCCACCA